GAAAGGAAGAAAAAAAGGAAUAAAAGGGUAGGACCUCCACUCAAGUUUAAGAAGACACACACACACACAAUCAAAACAUAAAAACUAGAAGCAGAAAAUACAGCAAUUGACAGUAUUUCAGCACACACACACACACACACACACACACACACACACACGGUUGUAUUGUGGAGGAUAUUGCUGACAAUGUACAUUCACAGAACGUUUACAGUGCAUCAGGCUCUUCUCUGUUAUGUCUCAGAGUCAUCCUAAGUUUAACACCGGUGGCAUGCAGUCUUGCACAGGAAGAAGCCCAGGCACCUGGAGUCAAGAGUCCAAGUCAGGAUGUGGAGCCAAGAGGCUGACCCUGAGCUCAAAGCUAUUGCUUUCUACUUUGGGAGAAGAUAUAGAAGGCAUCACACAUGAAUGUAUGAGAAAAUAUAAAAAAGCAAUGAAAUAGCAUGUGUCACUUAAUGUUCUGCUCAAAUCCAAUUACGCAAAGCAACAACACAUGGGCACACUCAUGAGUGUUGCUUAUCCCAAAGGCACAUUGUUCAGCUGAGAAUUAUAAGGCAGAUACUAUCAGAGAGGCACGGGGUUAAGUUGCCAUUAUUCUACAAUUAAAUAUUUUCUUUAAUUUUUUUACAUUGAUUUAUUGCUUGAUUGUGUAUAGGGGUACAUCCUCUGGUGUACUUGAGAAGGCCAGAGGACAGUUUGAGGAAGCUGGUUCUUUCCUUCAAAUAUGUGGGUCCCGAAUAUUGAUCUCAGGUCAUUGAACACAGCAGUGAGAGCCUUCACCAGCAGAGCCAUCUCACUGGCCCCAGAAUGUGCUUUCUUAACAUUUCUGUGAAGUGUACAUUUAUUCCCAGGUACAGUUUUCUAAAGGGAGAGGCCCACGGAGGCAUGAGUCAAUGUGGACCAACGAGCCAAGUCCCUCCCUUUACUGUGGUUCACUUACAGUGCUACCAGAAGGAAUUCAAAGUUGGACUGAACCAAGCAAUAACUACCUUAAGAAACUGGAGAUAUGUUUUAAAGAGUACAUUUUCUACUACCUCUGAAGUUCAAAAUUCUAAGAUAGCCCACGUUAGUGUACAGAGAUAUAAUUGAUUUUGGUGCACUGACCUUGUGUUCUGCUACUGUGCUGAACUUAUCUGUCAGUUCCAGAAGUUUUCUGGAAAUACCUUGAGGAUUUUCUGUGAAGAAGAUCUCACAUCAACUGUGAAUGGAGGUAAUCUGAGUUUAUUAUUUAUUUUUAAUUGCCCUUGGCUAAACUAUUGCGUGAAAGCUGUAAAUACAGACAUCUGUGUCUUGAUCUUUUCAGUCUUUCAUCUAUGUGAUCUUUCAUCCUGUCUGCUAGAUGUGAGUCUUUCAUACCUGGUCCUCAUGAGGAUGGAGACAUCCCCUUGGAUUCCAACUGUGAUGAGUGUUUUCAUCAUGAAAGGAUGUUAGAUAUUACCAAAUGCCCUUUCUGCAUACAACCCUAGAGACAAUCAUGGGUUUUUGUCAUUCUUUCUUCUAAUAUAAUGCGUCCUGCAGGUUUUCAUGUUAUGAAAGCCUCACUUGUACAUUAAUCUCACUCAUUAUGGUAUAUAGUUGCUUAUGUACUGUCAGAUCUGUUUACUAGAAUUCUGUUGCAGGCCUUUAAGUCUGUAGCCAUAACAUAUACUGGUGUCUUUUAUUAUGAUGUCUUUGGUUGUGAUAUUGAGGCAAUGUUGUCCUCAUAGGAUGAGCUGAGAAGUGUUCUGGUCUCCUUUAAGUAUGCGUUCCACAUUUUGUUUGCAUUUAGAACCAUUACAUACUAGGUUCAUUGUCCUCCUUUAUGAAUAUUUAUCCCUUGUUUUCGAAUACAUUCCUCAAUUAGACCCUUCUACAGAGGUGUUGUUUCUGAUAUGUCUUUGUUCACCUAGAACACUUCUUUUAUUCAAGUCUUGGGGUCAUGCUGCCUGCCAAAUGCAGACCUGGCCCAUCCUCUCCUCAGCCAGGAAGAAGGGACACAUAAGCAUUUUGUGAAUUUCAAAUGAUGUCUGUUUUAUUCAUUUUCUAAAUUUCCUUCUCCUCUAUUAUUGGCACAAGACUGUCCAUGGUCGUCAGCCCCGGAGUAUUGUUGGAUAUUGUUUAACCCUCAGUAUGUACUGAGCUGCUAACAGUGUAUGCAGUGUACACUGUGAAUUCACUUGGGCAAUGAAACAAUGGCUUAUAUACACACACACUGAGGAGUCUAUCAUGAAAAUUAUGUCAAGAUUAGCAGUGCACAUAAUUCUUGUCAGCAAUCUCAAUAGGUAAGAAGGAGGUUCUUGGAAUGGCUAAAUGCUUGCCCAAUGACAUAACAGCUUGAGCCCAUGUUGCUCUCCUACCUCAUAUCUUCCCUGUGGAAAAGAUGUAAAAUCUUUUCAAUAGUAAAAUGAAAACAGUAAGUACUGUAUUUACUGGUGACUAAAUGUUUUAUACCCUGUUAAUUUUUUUAACUUGACCUUUUCCUGCUAAGAUAAACAGUAAGACUAGAGUAAAGUACUAGUUAUUUAUAAGUACUUUUCAAUUUAACACGACUGACUCAACAAAAUAGUUAUUUCCUGUGAGUCCACCACAGAAAAGCAGGUGUCCAUACGAAGCUUUGUCAGAGAGUUUAUAAUCCAAUGACGUGUGGCAUUUGGUUAUUUAUCUAUCUUAAAUAUGUGAGAUAUGACUCAAACCUCUGCUAAUACAUGGCAGUUAGGCAGUGUGUACUUUUAUGAAGUUUAUAUUCUCAGAGAUAUCUCUGUUUGCAGCAUUAAUUCUGAUGUUAAAAGCAUCAUCUUCUUCAACUGGCAUUUCACAGACAACCACUCAGCAGCCCCAAGAGUGUUUAAAGGCUACACUCCCCAUGCCCAGCGGCUGAGAGUGUCUUGGAACUGCCUCCUCUUUGCCCUGGGGCUCCCUCUAUUUAUAAAAUAAUUUUGGCUCCUCUGUGCAUCUGAUGGUCCAGCUCAGCCUGUGGCUCCCUUCAUUUUCUUGGGUGCUUUCCUUUUCAUCACCUCUCUGGUUUCUCCCUCAUCCCAUGCCAAGUAUAUGUGAGAGGAAAACAACAAACUCCUUCCCUUGGCACAGACAUCAGCUUUUGCUACCCAUAGUCCUGGGAGAAAGGUUUCAUCCAACGGCUGCAAAGCUUGUGCUGCCAUCCAGGUCCAGAUCUAUCUAAGGGCACCAUUUCCACUUCAAGAGUUUUUCUGUGGAGGAAUUUGGGGCCAGCUGUGAAGAUAAUAAAAAUUUCUCCAAUUUAUUAUGUAUGUAAAUCAUAAUUAUAUACAUCAUAAAAAUGAUAUGUGAUAAAAAAAGAGGCUCUAUCACGUGUAAUGGGCAUCAAGAGAGGGAGGGUCUAGUUCUGAAUGGGAAGAACAGGGCAAGCUUAAUGGAGGACACCAAAGGAUGGGUCUUGACUCACAGGGAGAUGUGUCUGUGGUAAGUAGUCAGCAGAGGAGAGGAGAGCUGAUAAUUAUGAAGGAAACUAACUUACAUAUUUAACCUUGAGACCAAAUUGUCUCACAUGCAGAAAUCAUAUAGCAUGAAUGGGUAGGUGAGGGCCUAGCGUCUCUAAGAUGGCCAAGCACAGGUCAAAUAGACUCUGGAUGCUUCCUUAAGAAGAUCUAAUUUUCCAAGGUCCAACAAAGUGUCAUGAUUUUGCUUUUAACUUUACUUGAUGAGGUUCAGGAGGGAACUUUUGGUUUCUCAAAGCAGGAUCUUCUGGCCAAGGGAUGAUUUAAGUCAAAGCUCUUAUCAAUUAGAGAGCUGCGUACUCUUACCAUGGAAGGAAAUGACUGAAGCAAAGUCAUGUCCUGAAAUCUGAACCAGAGGGGCCAGUUUCCCAGGUACCUCAUAAGCUGGCUGUCGGUUGUUGGUGAUUGACUGGAUAAUAGGGAAUGAAACGUGACUCAGGUAGGUUAGCUCUGGUGACCAAGAUAAAAGUAAUGUGAUUAACCUGAGCCACAGGGAUAAGACACCAUGCGAGACGCUAAUGAGAAAAAUUACCCUGUAUGUAAACAGUAGAUUUAUGUCUCCAAGACAAUAGGGCAGCACUUUCUUUUCAUCUGCCUGACAAGUAAUAAUUUAAGAGAGUCAUAUAAACUAGGUAAUAAAAAAGUAUUUUCAGGGAUAGCUUGAAUGGGUUUUAUCAAAGAAAGCUCAUAAAAUAAACUUAAUGGUAAUGGAAUUUCAUUAAACACCAUCGAAUGUAUAAUUCUAAAGGCCAGGUACUUUGUAAAGAAAAUUAGAGAAAAAAAAACUGCAUAGUUUUUGUUUAUUCAGUCAAUUAACGUUCAUUAAAUUCUUUCUGGGAUGUUGCUGAGUUUAUGGUUGGCAGUUUACAUACUUGAUGAACUAGGUGAUUGCUUUUCUGAUUGGUUUUAAUUAUAGGAGUUUGUUUUUCAGCACCUCAGAGAGAUGCACUUCUGUGUAGUAAAGGACCAGCGGAUGAAGGAAACUGGUUCCGAGAGUUUACCAUGGCCUGAGGCAGAGGGCUGAGUGUUGUUUUCUGUGCCACUCCAGCCUGAGGUAGAGGAUAGUCAGGAUGGCAGAAGCUGAGAGCUACAGAACCAGGAAUCUGGCUGACAUGGUCUCAGGCAUGUCUCAGAAAGCUGUUAGCUCCUCUAUGCUUUGGUUGCUUUUCCUGUAAGACAACAACGCGUAUGCCUUGCAGGGUCUUAGAAAGAAUUAGGCUUCUGACAAUCAAAUCAUUUAGGUCAGUACUGGGAAAUGACUGAUGUUCCUGUGUCAUUUUGUGCCAAUUAUGAGCCUCACUUGAACAAGGUGAGCAUUGGAAUGAAUCAAGCAAUAUGCCCAGGAGCACAGACGAGAGGAGGUCUUUUCAGUGUUCCUUUGCCCCGGCACUUAGGCCAGUGGCUUGUAGCUAUCUGCUGAAUUUUUAGGAGAUGCACUUCAUAUGGAUGUCACAGCCUGUUUCCUGACCUCUGUAGGUUGGCUGGUCCCCCAGCUCAGACCCAGUACCACUUUUCUUCUGUGCUUUAUCCCCUUUCCCAAGUGAACUUGAUUAUCAUUCCCAUGUGCUGUACGGUAGGCUUCAUAGUUCAUCUUUUCAAAGCCACACUAGUGCAUCUCAUGACCUUUCUCUCCCAAAUAAAAGAUGCAGCAUUUGACCUGCCAUUCUUGUGUCAAUUGUGAGAUUCUCAUAUGCAAUACAUAGGGCCAGAUGUAGUGGCAUAUAUAGAGUCCCAGCACAUGGUAGACAGAAGCAGGUGAAUUUCAACUUUGAGGCCAGCCCGUGUUAACUAUCAAGAUAUGUUUAAAACAAAAAUCCAAUUCUAUUUCUUUUGGUUUCUACACCUCAGGAAAUAACAGUUAUUUUCCCAACACUUUGGAACCAAGAGUCAUUUGUGGUUAUUAUUCUUUUCUACCACUUCCAAUCUGUCCACAGUUCCUAUUUGUUUAACUUUCAAAAUGUAUCUCAAGUGUGAGUACUUCUGAUAUAAUCAUUGUGUAUCUAGAUCCCUUCCACAUACAUCAACUGCAACCAAGUUUCAACCCCCAACUCCUGAGACGCUGAGCCUUUUUUGAUGUGUUACUCUAAGAUGUACAUAGCAUAAAAUUGAGUUUGUAACUACUCUUAAGGGUGCAGUCCAGGGGGUACUUAGGAUAUUCAUGUUGAUGUUCAAGCAUCACCCUUGUGUCUAAGACAUUCUUCCCUCCCCAACAGACACUCCCAUUGUACACUAGCUACUCCUCUUUUUCCUUACUAUCUGGGAUUUUCUCCUACCCUCCCCAUAUACCUCUCCGUCCUCUACCACAUUUCACCUUCCUUUCCUCUCUUCCUCAGUCUUUCUCUCAAUCUUGUCUCUCUUUUUCAUAGUUUCCCUAUGUAGCCCAGGCUGGACCUCAUUCUCUUGGGUGCUAGCCACUAGUGCUACCACUCUACUGUGUUUUCUAUCUUUAUAACUUUACCUAUCCCAGGUUUUUACUCAUAUAGAUUUGUGGAACAGUUGUCCUUUCAUUUGCCUAUACACAUUGGAGUACAGGUCAGAAUUUCAUUUCUUUUCCAGGUCAAAUAAUACCACCAUUGCAUUCAGGUUUUAUUCACAUGCCAAAUUUUUAUCCACCCGUUCAUUCACUGAUUGCCAUGUGGACUGUAUCUGCCAUUUAGCUACUGGAAAAAAAAAACUCUGCCAGUAUCACUGAGUCCCUGUUUGUAAAUCUGUUGGGUAACUAACCAAUUUGUUGGAUUAAAUGUCAACUAUUUCAGUUUGGGAGGAACCACCAGACUUUCCCACAGAAAUUACACAGUUUUAUCUUCCUAUAAACAAAACA
rnacentral:sRNA from 1 species